rnacentral:rRNA from 1 species
GAACGCUGGCGGCAUGCCUAACACAUGCAAGUCGAACGGUAACGGACCGCUGGGAUUCCUUCGGGAUGACCUUGGUGCCGACGAGUGGCGGACGGGUGAGUAAUACUUAGGAAUCUGCCCAGUAGUGGGGGACAACAUUCGGAAACGGAUGCUAAUACCGCAUACGCCCUACGGGGGAAAGCGGGGGAUCUUCGGACCUCGCGCUAUUGGAUGAGCCUAAGUCGGAUUAGCUUGUUGGUGAGGUAAUAGCUCACCAAGGCGACGAUCCGUAGCUGGUCUGAGAGGACGAUCAGCCACACUGGGACUGAGACACGGCCCAGACUCCUACGGGAGGCAGCAGUGGGGAAUAUUGGACAAUGGGCGCAAGCCUGAUCCAGCAAUGCCGCGUGUGUGAAGAAGGCCUGCGGGUUGUAAAGCACUUUCAGUAGAGAAGAAAAGCCCAGGGUUAAUACCCCUGAGUCUUGACGUAACCUACAGAAGAAGCACCGGCUAACUCCGUG